AACGUAGGUGACGAGCGUUAUCCGGAUUUACUGGGCGUAAAGCGUGUGCAGGCGGGAAGGUAAGUGGUGUAUGAAAGCUCUGAGCUUAACUCAGAGAGGUUAUGCCAGACUGCCCUCCUAGAGGUGGUAAGAGGGACAUGGAAUUCCGGGUGUAGUGGUGAAAUGCGUAGAGAUCCGGAGGAACUCCAGAGGCGAAGGCGGUGUCCUGGUACCAACCUGACGCUCAGACACGAAAGCAUGGGGAGCGAACGGG
rnacentral:rRNA from 1 species